GACGAACGCUGGCGGCGUGCCUAAUGCAUGCAAGUCGCACGCAGAGUGCUUGCACUCUGAGUGGCGCACGGCUGAGGACCACGUGGGAACAUGCCUCUGAGUGGGGGAAAACAGCGCGAAAGCGCUGCUAAUCCCGCAUACGAUCACAAGAUGAAAGCAGCGAUGCGCUCGGAGAGUGGCCCGCGGCCCAUCAGGUCGUCGGUGGGGGAACGGCCUACCGAGCCGAUGACGGGUAGCUGGUCUGUGAGGACAGACAGCCAGACUGGGACUGAGACACGGCCCAGACUCCUACGGGAGGCAGCAGCAAGGAAUUUUCGUCAAUGGGGGCAACCCUGAACGAGCAACGCCGCGUGCAGGAUGACGGCCUUCGGGUUGUAAACUGCUUUUGCGGGGGACGAUGAUGACGGUACCCCGCGAAUAAGGCUCGGCUAACUCUGUGCCAGCCGCCGCGGUAACAC
rnacentral:rRNA from 1 species